rnacentral:rRNA from 1 species
CCUACGGGAGGCAACAGUGAGGAAUAUUGGUCAAUGGGCGAGAGCCUGAACCAGCCAAGUCGCGUGAAGGAUGACUGCCCUACGGGUUGUAAACUUCUUUUACAGGGGAGCAAAGUGAGGCACGUGUUCCUCCUUGUAUGUACUUUAUGAAUAAGGAUCGGCUAACUCCGUGCCAGCAGCCGCGGUAAUACGGAGGAUACGAGCGUUAUCCGGAUUUAUUGGGUUUAAAGGGUGCGUAGCUGGGAUGUUAAGUCAGGUGUGAAAGUGAGGGGCUCAACCGUCGAAUCGCAGUUGAAACUGGCAGCCUUGAGUGCGGUAGAGGUAAGCGGAAUUCGUGGUGUAGCAGUGAAAUGCAUAGAUAUCACGAAGAACUGCGAUUGCGAAGGCAGCCUACUGGCGCCCAACUGACGCUGAUGCACGAAAGCGUGGGUAUCAAACAGGAUUAGAUACCCCUGUAGUC